GGAAAGCAAUUUGAGGUGGGUUGUGUUUACCGAAGCGACUAAGUCACCUGUAUGUCUAAGACAAGUGUUUGUCAUUGAUGCAUAUUAUGGUAGCUUGUGGUAGAAUUUAUAAAUGCAUGAAAUGAAUGCUAUGUUAGGCUACCAAAUAAUGCAUAUGGUCAUAAUGUGAGAAUGCUAAGUAAUGCAUAGUAACAUAGUGUAAAUAAUGCUAAGUGGAAAGUAUAAAGUAAAUGACAUAUGUUAGUCAUGUUGCAUGUAUAGAAAUGCUAAUGUAAGAAUGCUAAGUGGAUGCAUGUAGUAAAUGCUAAAGGAAAUGAAUGCUAAUGAUGUAAUAUGAAAUGCUAGGAUGCAUGAUGAUGUAAUAUAAAUGAUGCUAGUUAAAAGCAUGAGGUAAAUGACAUUUGCAUGUUAACAUAAAGUAGAGAACAUGCUAGUUGUAAUGCAUAAUGAUAAGUUGUAAAGAAUGCUAGUUUGAAUAAGCAUGUUAUAUAAAUGCUAGAUGAUGCAAGCUAACAUAUAGAGGUUUAUGUUAAUGGAAAUGUGCAUAUGGACAAUCUAUAUACAUUAGAUCGAGUGGCAUUAAACCUAGUGUCUUGAACAUAGGUUGAACAUGAAUGAUAUGAACCUAGUGUUAGUAAACCUAGGUCGGACAUGAAGGACAUAUGAACCUAGUGUGAAUAUACAUAGGUUGGACAUCAAGUAGCAUUGAACCUAGUGUUAAAGAACAUAGGUUGGAAUCAUGUGUGGCAUUUAAUCUAGCGUUAAAGAACAUAGGUUGGACAUAAACCUAGUGUUAAAGAAAGUAGUUAAACAAGGUUUAAACCAAAGUGACAUUGUGGCUUGGUAUUAGUGGUAUAUGCAUGAUUAGCAAAAAUCCUAUCAUUGGCAUUGAGGCAUAGAGAUAUGGAACAAGUUGGCUAUACCUCCUCAAAUUGAGGAUGGGAUCGUACUUCAAUUGCUACAGCGCGGGUAAGAUGAGUAAGGGCUGUUCCGUUGUGUGCGGAGUCGCUCCUCUAUAGGCGUGAUCCGGAGUAUAGACACACGGUGUGAGAAUGCCGGCGAAGAUCCUCGGAUGGCAGUACCUUGUGCUUCCCGGUAGACGGGAUGGUGAAAGUUUUGAGGAGCCCAAGGAUCUAUCUAGAUUGUAUCUAUCACCUAGAGGGGGUGAAUAGGUGUAAUGGCCAAAACCACAAAUCUCGAUGCAAUAAAAAUAAAUGCGGAAAAUAAAAGGCACACCGAAGAUUUACGUGGGAAAAUCCAACUUGGAGAAAGCCCACGGGACCAAACCGCAAAAAAAUAAUUCACUAAGAGAAAAGAUUACAAGGUGAUUACCGACUCCAACGGACUUAACCUUCUUAACCUCCUAUGAAUCUUCGCGCUACCCCGGGUUGUCCACGCCCUCACGUCCGAAUCACGAACGCCUCCACUUCGACAUCACGAAGCUUCAAUCACGCCGAAUCCACGACGCCACUCGAAUCCACGAGCCCACGAUCCGAAUCACGAACCGCCGUCAAAUACGCCGAAUCCACGACGCCGUCAUGAAGAGCAUCAUGAUUAUGGUGAUCCUUUGCUUAGGAGUAUCGUAGAAAACCAGGAAAAGAAACUCCAAGCAAAGCGGAGAUCAAAUCGGCAUAUAGAUAUCAAAUUACAAUAUUCCGAUUUGACCUAAAAGAGGCUAAUAUGUAGAAAAUAGGUUUUAGAUGAAAUCCAAGCCUCUAGGGUUUCUCAAACAUGUAUUCUUAUGAUUCUUGAUCUGUUAGAGAAGCUCAAAUAGCUUAUUUAUAGACUUUAGAAUCAAUUGGAGUCGGAUUAGAAAGAUUUCACGAUUUACACUGUGUACCGGUACACGAAAAGCUGUCACCGGUUACACAAGGACGGAACAGAAAUACGAAGCCAAAGUCAGUGGCUGUACCGGUUACUAGGGCUUCUGAUUUGCUGUACCGGUACACAAUGCAAUUUUUUGGAUUUUGUAUUGUUUCGAGUUUCGUACACUUCCGAAGCACUUUCUAAUCAACGAAACUUUUGAUUAAAUGAUUCUAAUGCCUAUAACUAAUUAUGAAUCACCAUAACAUGAAUUAAAACUUUACCUGACCAUCGUGAUUCACGUCGUGAGGUAUUUUCUGAUUUUUUCCAAAAUCUUGAAUUCUUUGAUCUUUGUCAAUUCGCUUCGAUUCUUCAAGACUCCGACUCACUUCACGAAACUUGCCAAUACAAAAACCUUAACAGAUGGAUCCCUCGGGGGCAUUUCCUAAUGCUAAUCCCGGUAGAUGGGACAUGUGAGAUGUGAGCUUAGGGCGAACUUGAUGAACCCUGGAAAGAUUGGGUAAAGGCUAAAGUGAAUGUGUGAAAGUAUGCAUUAUGAGCUAUGGAUUUGGUGUUCCAGUUGAGUAGAUUUAUGGCUAAGGUGUAUGUGGGACGUCCUUCACCUCGAGCCUGGAUGCAUGCGGUAUUCCACAGAUGAUUGACUCGAGACUGAGUCGGGUGGUUAGCUUCGCUAUGGUAGAGGAAAACCUUAGGAGCAAAUAACCAAUGAUGUAAAGUGACAAGAUGUAUAAAUUAUGGAAAUGCUAUAGAUAGUAUGAUAGAAAGUAAAAUCAUUUAUUUUACUUGUAUGGUUGCAUUGUUUCAUAUUGCAUAUCGCGAGGCAUGACAUGUAGUUCAAUAUCGAAUAAAUGUAAAUAUCUGUUAUAUGUUAUUGGACUAACCUGUUGCAGUGCCUCAUUAGACCUAUUCGUUGAGCUUUUCCCUUGGAUGGCCGUACCCUCUGGGAACCAAGGAGUUGGUUCUCACCCCACGUUGUUUUGGGGUGUUACAGGUUCACACGUGAGCGGCGCGGCGGCGCGAGGUGAGGGCGUAGCUCCGUAGUUAGCAUCCUACCACCGAGACCAGAGAUAGCGGUACCCUGAGUUGACUACUUAGGGAUGUAAGAAAAUGAAAGGAAUAAGAUUGUAAUAAUUUGUAAUAAGCAUGAUUGUAUUUGGAAGUAAAAUAUAAUAAGUAUUUGGGAUGUAAAAUGUAUCUAGUGAAUGUGAAUGCUUGUAACAGCAAGUAGAUUAUGUUUUUGAUACUUCCUUAUGCAAUCUUUGAUUGAAAUGUGUUCCUGGUUGGAACUUCGUACACUGUAUUGAUUGCGACGCCUUGGACGUACAGGGGAGACUCUAUCCGCGGGGCAGGGGAAACCGUGUCCGUUCGGCGGUCUGUCGGCGGCACCGCGACCCGGCCAAAUAGGCGGGUGGUCGUGGGUUGUGACAGAUAAGAUGGUAUCAGAGCAUAAAAGAAACAUAAAAGAAUAAUAGAAAAUAGUUUAAUUGGACCUAGGAGACCCUAGGAUAGCAAACCAUAGGAGAUUAAGGCUCGUGAGAGACGAGGACUUGUGACUUUUGGCGAAAGGUUAAUUGAUUGGGUUGUGUCAUAAACCUCUAAAACGGAUGUUAGAGGUAGACUCAGGGUGAGGUUUAUUCUCAACAGAGGGUGUUCAUGUUGGGUGCACACAACAUGAAGCCAAGUGAUGAGAAUAGACGCCCUUGCGUGACUUUCGCCCGAUUUGAGUCGGUAUUAAGUGUCUUGUGUUCGACCUAGAAGGUCGAGGAUUAAUAGAGUUGUCGUGUUUUAGGAAGCGAUAGCACUGCAUAGGCGAUCUUUAUUUAGAUCGGCGCGGGAUGGGCCAAGUGGUGUCCCUGGGCAGUUUGAGGCGAGCGGAGACUUGGAACUUCGCGAGUUUUGGCAGCUCUCAUGACCUUUGAGAAAUUAACAGAAUUCUCGUCGUGUUAGAUCACUUUUGGUCAAAUUAACCAAAGUGCAAGGUUGGUAUGCUUCGGUAAGGCCGAAGGCGUCAAAAGGAGUAAAGGUGCGUCAUUGGGGAUCUUCGAGAGCUAGGGAUUUGAAAAUUUACAACUGUAGGUUUUUUGCUCUCGGGAACCGGUCCCUGCGGGGAGAGACCGGUCCCAAGAGACCAGUUCCGUUAGGGGGAGACCGGUUGCCUCAUGCGUAGCCUGCGCGGCCACCGGGAGAAGCUCUCGGAGACCGGUCCCUCGUCGCGGAGACCGAUCCCCGAACCUGAAAAUGGCCCAGUCAGGGCAGUGUAAAAGAAUAAAGUUGAGGGGCUUAUUUGCACUUAUGCAACAUGUGGGGCUAUGUGAGGGGUAUGAGAGCUCUUUUCUCUCAUUUCUCACCCGCACACCCUCUCAUAUCUCUCUCUCUCUCUCUAAGACAAGAAGAGGAAGAAGAAAGGAAAGAAAAGAAAGAGAAGAAGAAGGAGGUCUUCCUCAUCUUAUUCAUCUUCUCCUUGGUUGGAGCUUCUUGGAGAGGUAAACUUUUAAUCUCUCUCUCAUGGUGGAUUUCUAGAGAUAGGUUUGAUUGCUCAAGAAAUGGAGUUUUAUGUUAUCUGAGAGCGUAGUACCUGCCAGUACAGGUAUAGAGCCAGAUGGCACUAGCGAAGUGCUAGAAGUAAUCUAUGGCGAGAAGUGAGACUCGCAGUAGAGAUAGAAGUGGCGAAAUGACUCUAAGAGUAAUAUGAGUAGUAAAUUGCGAGAGUUGAGCCAUGAUACUUAUGAGAACACCUGAGUGGUUCGAAAAUUUCGGAUAUCAUUUUGGUAGAUUGAACAGUGAAAGUAGCAUCACUGUUGAGAGAACGGUCGAUUAGUGGCCAAGUUUGAGCACGUGGGCCUAGUAGUACCUCAAGGUGAGGUAGGCGGUUGUGCUCGUGCGGCCGGUGUGCAUAGGCAAGAUUGCCUAAUGCUGGACUUCGUGUGGAACGCUGUAGAGGCGUAGAGCGCUCGAGUGAAGAUACCCGUAGAGUGCGGAUAUGGAUUCAGCCGAGAGAGUGUAUUGGCAGUAGCACUUGAGCAUUGCUAGGUGUGAAACGUGCCAUGGAUCACUCGUGAGACUGGUGACUCGCACUAGGUGCAUAGGGGCCGAUAUUGGUACGUGUGACUCGGUAGAGUAUGUCGUGUAGGACGACAACAGCGGGUAGUGAUUGGGGACGACCCGUGCCUGGACCAUUUGUGGACUGUGGAGACUGGGCCCUUCGGGCAGGCGCAGUCAGCUGUGAGUGACAGCGGCCCGGUACUUACAGGUAGGGUAGAGUUAUGGUCAGGGCGGUAGUCCGAGCUUAGACCCGAGAGCGUGGAAUGCCACGUGAUAGAUUGUGUGACCGAUGGUACACCGAGUAUGGUUGUGACCCAACCCGAGGACUUGACGUGGUUUGGGGUCUUAGUUGCUCCUGGUUGGAGUGUGUGCGNGGUACACCGAGUAUGGUUGUGACCCAACCCGAGGACUUGACGUGGUUUGGGGUCUUAGUUGCUCCUGGUUGGAGUGUGUGCGAAUUCCCAAGUGAGAAUUUCGCCCGAUGAUGAUUGGGUCUUCAUUUGCGAACGAGAGACGCUGCGUAUUGAGACAGGUUUAGGCGGUAGGCCUACGUAGGAUUGGUGGCCUUUGGUCCACCUGUGGAGACCGAAGAGAGCAAUUUGGCGGAUAGCCUUAUCGAGAAAUUUGACUCGAAUUCACGAACGGAGUGUUCGCGUGAGCUCGUUGCGAAAAUAGUUUGAUGUUGAUCGUGGCAUGUGGUAUUAGAUGAUGAAGUACUCCUUGUGAGACAUUGAACUAGUGGAAAGCCACGUGAUGUUGGAGACUAUGCUCGUAAGUGAACUAAGGCUUGAGAGGAGCCGAAGUGGGCCAUCUCACGUUAAAGUUAAGGGUCAGUGCGAAAUUAGAGCACUCACAACGGAGCGAUGCACCGGUGAUAUUGCUUCUAAGCAAUGUUGGUGAUCGAAUUGGGAGGUAUUCCCUGAAGGGAAGGUAAGUGCAAAGAAGAGUUCUUUGUGUAUCGAAUGGUGAGUGGUGUUGGAGCACGUAGAGUCGUCGAGUAUUGACUUGCGCUGCCACUAUGACUUGCACAACCCGUGAUGCACUUUUGUAUCACACUUUGCAAAUGAGUUUCGAAUUAAACCCACGUCCUUUAGUGUGAAGCCGCUUUGGAGUGGGAGAAUGAGUUGGUACCCUUAAUUGCUCGCGGAGCUGAAUUGAGGCGUGGUUUGAAUUUCGCGAACGAAAUUCUUUUUAAGGGGCGGAGAAUGUAACAUACCAGAUUUUGGUAUAAAAAGAAAAAUAAAUGAAAAUAGUGUGAGAAACUAUUUUUAUUGAAUUUAGAAAAGUAAAACAUAGUCAGAAGUGACUUGUGCUGAAAUCGGAAUGAAAACAGAAGAUUUAGAAUUUUCUAUUGGAAACAGGACAGAUAAAUUAGCAGAAAAUACACAGUGUCAGAAAAUUAUGAAAAUUGGAGGAUAAGUCAGAAUUAUUUUUAUGAGGCUAGAUUUAAAGUUUCAUAUCAUUCUGACACCCGGAAGGUGAAAAAUAAAAUCCGACAGCUAUCUAAUAAAGAUUACAGUUCAGUACAGUUUUCGGUGAUCAAACGGGGUCGAAACUGAAAUAUUAAAAUUUCUUUGGACUCGUUAAGUAAAACCGAACAUGACUGUCAAAUUUGGGCUCAAACGGAUAUUCAGGGAGUUCCGGCGAAAGAUAUUAGAUUUUAAACUGCCUGGAGUGAAUAGUAUUUUGGGUGUUAAUGUAUAAAGAAGCCUUUUGCUUCUUCUCCCUCAACCGACCAACACACACCCGCACACCACACACACGCAUACAUGGUGGGGAGAGACAAAGCUUCCUUUCUCUCUCUAGAUUUCUCUCUCAUCUCUCUAAAUCUCUCUCUAAGAAUUUGAGGGUUGGUGGAGAAGAUGAUUGCGAACACGUUGGAGGCGUCGAUUCGAGCUCUCGUGCGCCCGUUGAAGCGGCGUGCUUUCGUCGCGGCGUUCACAUAGUGGUAAGCUUUUAGGAUUUGGCUUAAUCCUUAGCUUUAAGUGUUCUAAUAGCCUCUAAUGAGCAUUGUUAGCAUGUUGCUCCAUUUAAUUUGGAUUAUUUGGAGGUUAAUUGCAUAUUAGGGCUCCGAAUGGGAUUUUGUAAAAUAGUAGGGUUUGAUCUCAUUUGACCCUCCGUAAACCAAAUUGCUAGGUAAACGAACACGUUGGCGAAGUUUGUUCGUCGAUUCGUCGAGCCUACGCGAAGUUAUUAAAGAAACGGACGUUUAGGCUUCGUUUCCGCCUGGAGGGCCGAGGCGACAUCGUAAAGUCAUGAAAAUAGAUUUGGAGCACCGUGGCACAUAACCAAAGACCUAUAAUUUUCGGUGCCGUGAUUCGACGCACGGUUGGUGAGUAUUAGCGAAAUCGGGCCGAACCGGACACGAGUGCCGCGGGAGGCCGAUUGUAAGUGUCGACAGGCAAUCGAAAAGCGAUUUGAGGUGAGUUGUGUUUAUCGAAGCGACUAGGUCGCUUGUAUGUCUAAGAUGAGUGUUUAUCAUUGAUGCAUAUUAUGGUAGCUAGUGGUAGAAUGUAUAAAUGCAUAAAAUGAAUGCUAUGUUAGGCUACCAAAUAAUGCGUAUGGUCAUAAUGUGAGAAUGCUAAGUAAUGCAUAGUAAUAUAGUGUAAAUAAUGCUAAGUGGAAAGCAUAAAGUAAAUGACAUAUGUUAUUCAUGUUGCAUGUAUAGAAAUGCUAAGUGGAUGCAUGUAGUAAAUGCUAAAGGAAAUGCAUGCUAAUGAUAUAAUAUAGAAAUGCUAGAAUGCAUGAUGAUAUAAUAUAAAUAAUGCUAGUUAAAAGUAUGAGGUAAAUGACAUUUGUAUGUUAACAUAAAGUAGGAACAUGCUAGUUGUAAUGCAUAAUGAUAAGUUGUAAAGAAUGCUAGUUUGAAUAAGCAUGUUAUAUAAAUGCUAGAUGAUGCAAGCUAACAUAUAGAGGUUUAUGUUAAUGAAAAUGUGUAUAUGAACAAUCUAUAUACAUUAGAUUGAGUGGUAUUAAACCUAGUGUCUUGAACAUUGGUUGAAUAUGAAAGAUAUGAAUCUAGUGUUAGUAAACCUAGGUCGGACAUGAAGGACAUAUGAACCUACUGUGAAUAUACAUAGGUUGGACAUCAAGUGGCAUUGAACCUAGUGUUAAAGAACAUAGGUUGGAAUCAUGUGUGGCAU
rnacentral:lncRNA from 1 species